rnacentral:rRNA from 1 species
GGCGAACGCUGGCGGCGUGCUUAACACAUGCAAGUCGAACGGAAAGGCCCUGCUCUUGUGGGGUGCUCGAGUGGCGAACGGGUGAGAAACACAUGAGUAACCUGCCCCUGUCAUUGGGGUAACACCACGGAAAUGGGGCUAAUACCGGAGAUGAGCUCCUGCUGCACGGUGGUGAAUGGUAAGUUUCGGCGGUUUGGGAUGGACUCGCGGCUUCUCAGCUUGUUUGGCUGGUAGUGGCAGACCAGGGCUUUGACGGGUAGGCGGCAUGAGAGGGUUAACGGGCACAAUGGGACUGAGAGAGGGACCAGACUGCAACGGGAGGCAGCAGUCGGGAAUAUUGCACAAUGGGCGGGAGCCUGAUGCAGAAAUGUUGCGUGCGGGAUGACGGCUUUCGGGGUGAAAACAGCUUUGGCAUGUGAUGAAGCGUGAGUGACGGUAAUGGGUAAAGAAGCACCGGCUAACUACGUG